CGCCGUUAAACGAUGUCGACUUGGAGGUUGUUCCCUUGAGGAGUGGCUUCCGGAGCUAACGCGUUAAGUCGACCGCCUGGGGAGUACGGCCGCAAGGUUAAAACUCAAAUGAAUUGACGGGGGCCCGCACAAGCGGUGGAGCAUGUGGUUUAAUUCGAUGCAACGCGAAGAACCUUACCUACUCUUGACAUCCAGAGAACUUAGCAGAGAUGCUUUGGUGCCUUCGGGAACUCUGAGACAGGUGCUGCAUGGCUGUCGUCAGCUCGUGUUGUGAAAUGUUGGGUUAAGUCCCGCAACGAGCGCAACCCUUAUCCUUUGUUGCCAGCGGUUCGGCCGGGAACUCAAAGGAGACUGCCAGUGAUAAACUGGAGGAAGGUGGGGAUGACGUCAAGUCAUCAUGGCCCUUACGAGUAGGGCUACACACGUGCUACAAUGGCAUAUACAAAGAGAAGCGACCUCGCGAGAGCAAGCGGACCUCACAAAGUAUGUCGUAGUCCGGAUCGGAGUCUGCAACUCGACUCCGUGAAGUCGGAAUCGCUAGUAAUCGUAGAUCAGAAUGCUACGGUGAAUA
rnacentral:rRNA from 1 species